rnacentral:tRNA from 2 species
GGGAGGUUCGCCAAGCGGCCCAAGGCAUCGGUGUUACAUACCGACAUUUCACUGGUUCGAAUCCAGUACCUCCUACCA